rnacentral:rRNA from 1 species
UACGUAGGGUGCAAGCGUUGUCCGGAAUUAUUGGGCGUAAAGAGCUCGUAGGCGGUUUGUCGCGUCUGCUGUGAAAUCUGGAGGCUCAACCUCCAGCCUGCAGUGGGUACGGGCAGACUAGAGUGCGGUAGGGGAGAUUGGAAUUCCUGGUGUAGCGGUGGAAUGCGCAGAUAUCAGGAGGAACACCGAUGGCGAAGGCAGAUCUCUGGGCCGUAACUGACGCUGAGGAGCGAAAGCAUGGGGAGCGAACAAG